AAGGGCACCACAAGAACGCGUGGAGCAUGUGGCUUAAUUUGACUCAACCCGGGAAAUCUUACCAGGUCCAGACAUAUUGAGGAUUGACAGGCGAUGGUAUAUAAAAUAUAUUUUUAUAUGCAUAAAAAUGAUAGUCCUUUCAUGAUUAUAUGAUAGGUGGUGCAUGGCCGUUCUUAGUUCGUGGAGUGAUUUGUCUGCUUAAUUGCGUUUCAGUAAAUAAAAUAUAUAAUAUAUUAUAAUAUUUAGUUCUGCCUUUAUGGAUUUAAAGUGAACAUAUUAUAUAUAUUAUUAUAUAAUAAAUGAAUGCAACGAACGUGACCGUAACCUUUUAUUGCUAUUGUAAUUAUAAUUAUAGCAUAAAAUUAAAGGAACCGCUGUCAUUACUAAAUAUGUGUUAAAAUAGAGUAAGAUUAUGGCAAUAACAGGUCUGUGAUGCCCUCAGAUGUUCUGGGCUGCACACGUGCUACAAUAAUUACAUUAAUAAGUAUAUAUACUUUAUAAUAUAUAAUAUUAUAUUUAACCUAUUUCGAAAGUAAAUCGGUAAUCAUUUAAAAAUCGUGAUUAAUUAAUAUAAAUAUAAUUAAUUUAAGGUGGGGAUAGUGUAUUGUUAAUUAUUACACUUGGCCUUAACUAGGAAUGCCUUGUACUCUUCUUUGGUUUAACAUACCAAGAGGAAUACGUCCCUGCCCUUUGUACACACCGCCCGUCGCUCUUACCGAUGAAUUAUAUUAUAAAUCUAAGGGAUUUAUUAUAAUUAAAAUAUAAAAAACUUAUAUACAUAAUGUGAUUUAAAGGAAAGAGAAGUCGUAACAAGGCAUCAGUAGGUGAACCU
rnacentral:rRNA from 1 species